GACAUAAUUUUCGAGCUUCCAAGAUGGCCAGCAGGGCAGCGAAAGUCGCCUCUCGGACAUUAAAUUAUGUACACACGAAAAAAUGUAGAUCGCACACUUUUCACAGUGGUUUAUUACUGAGAAACAUAUCUCCAGUUAGCUCACAGAAUUUACGCCGCGUCCACUGGGACGUAAGGACGACGGCUGGAGCGAAAGAUUUCAUCUACACGCUUGACAACGAGGAGCGAGAGCAGCUGCUGCUUGAACUCCAGAGGUUUGAAGAGGCCAGGAAAAGUCCAGGUGAAAGAUAUUCAGUUCCUAAGAAGACAAAAACUACAGAAGUCUAUGAGUCAGCAUCACCUGUGCCCUCUUGGAGUCAGUUAAGAAAAGUUGCCCUUUACAACGGAUUGCCAUUUAUAGGUUUUGGAAUUUUAGACAAUGUUAUAAUGAUUACAGCAGGUGAAUACAUUGAUGCUACAUUUGGAGCCAUGCUGGGUAUAUCAACUAUGGCAGCUGCUGCAUUAGGUAAUAUGGUCUCAGAUGUAGCUGGAGUUGGAACUGCAGGAAUAGUGGAAAAUGCUGUCAGUAAAUUAGGUGUGAAGCCACCAAAUAUCACUCCAUCUCAAGCGGACCACAGGUCUACAAGGAUAGCCUCAGCUUUGGGGCGCGCAAUAGGGAUAGCAUUUGGUUGUCUGUUAGGCAUGUUUCCACUGUUUUUGUUACAUCAGGAGGGAAUUUUUAUUUCAAAAGACGAGAAGACUGAAUCAGAAAACACAGAAUCUGAAAAGUCUUAAAAGGACAAAGCAAUUACAGCAAAGUUAUGGUGCUUUUUGAAAUAAACUUGGAAGUCAUGUAUGCCAACAAAUGUAUUCUUUGCAUGUUCACAUGUAUAUAUAUAUGCAUAUAAGUAUAUAUAUGAGCAUGUGUAAAGAAUACACUGUUCUUUGUGAAAAAUUCAAAGUUUGGCUUGUUUCAAAAGUAAUUUUGCAAUUCAUAAACCAAAACUUUCAUAGACUACUAUUUGCUCAAGUUCUUGCUCAGCUACUGCGUACAUUUGUGCAGGAUGGCUGCCUUCUUAAAUGUCAGUUUUGGAGAUCCUCGGACCUCUGGUAGAUGAACAGUAUUUGUUCCGUGGAAUGUUAAUAUUAUUGUGUUGAAGAGUUUGUAUGGCAACACAAUCCUGGACAUUCUUCUGUUGGACGUCAAGAAUGUGAUCAUCAUCAUCAUCUAGUCAGGGCGAGCUCUGUGUGUUGUGAUUGGGUGUUUCAUAGGCAUGUUUCCACUCUAUUUUUACGAUGAGGAGGAGAUCCAGC